GUGAACGCUGGCGGCGUGCCUAAGACAUGCCAGUCGAGCGGGCCGCGGGGUUUUACUCCGUGGUCAGCGGCGGACGGGUGAGUAACGCGUGGGUGACCUACCCGGAAGAGGGGGACAACCCGGGGAAACUCGGGCUAAUCCCCCAUGUGGACCCGCCCCUUGGGGUGUGUCCAAAGGGCUUUGCCCGCUUCCGGAUGGGCCCGCGUCCCAUCAGCUAGUUGGUGGGGUAAUGGCCCACCAAGGCGACGACGGGUAGCCGGCCUGAGAGGGUGGCCGGCCAAAGGGGCACUGGGACACGGGCCCCACUCCUACGGGGGGCAGCAGUUAGGAAUCUUCCGCAAUGGGCGCAAGCCUGACGGAGCGACGCCGCGGGGAGGAAGAAGCCCUUCGGGGUGUAAACUCCUGAACCCGGGACGAAACCCCCGACGAGGGGACUGACGGUACCGGGGUAAUAGCGCCGGCCAACUCCGUG
rnacentral:rRNA from 1 species